rnacentral:rRNA from 1 species
UCCUGUCCAACGUUAAUCGGGGCAGGGUGAGUCGACCCCUAAGGCGAGGCCGAAAGGCGUAGUCGAUGGGAAACAGGUUAAUAUUCCUGUACUUGGUGUUACUGCGAAGGGGGGACGGAGAAGGCUAUGUUGGCCGGGCGACGGUUGUCCCGGUUUAAGCGUGUAGGCUGGUUUUCCAGGCAAAUCCGGAAAAUCAAGGCUGAGGCGUGAUGACGAGGCACUACGGUGCUGAAGCAACAAAUGCCCUGCUUCCAGGAAAAGCCUCUAAGCAUCAGGUAACAUCAAAUCGUACCCCAAACCGACACAGGUGGUCAGGUAGAGAAUACCAAGGCGCUUGAGAGAACUCGGGUGAAGGAACUAGGCAAAAUGGUGCCGUAACUUCGGGAGAAGGCACGCUGAUAUGUAGGUGAAGUCCCUCGCGGAUGGAGCUGAAAUCAGUCGAAGAUACCAGCUGGCUGCAACUGUUUAUUAAAAACACAGCACUGUGCAAACACGAAAGUGGACGUAUACGGUGUGACGCCUGCCCGGUGC